UACGAAGGGUGCAAGCGUUAAUCGGAAUUACUGGGCGUAAAGGGUGCGUAGGCGGUUGUUUAAGUCUGUCGUGAAAUCCCCGGGCUCAACCUGGGAAUGGCGAUGGAUACUGGGCAGCUAGAGUGUGUCAGAGGAUGGUGGAAUUCCCGGUGUAGCGGUGAAAUGCGUAGAGAUCGGGAGGAACAUCCGUGGCGAAGGCGGCCACCUGGACCAACAUUGACGCUGAGGCACGAAAGCGUGGGGAGCAAACAGG
rnacentral:rRNA from 1 species